rnacentral:lncRNA from 1 species
AUACUUGUUUUAUCACAAAACAUGUGAAUGAGUGAAUGUCGUCUCAUACUGCAGUCAGCAAUAUUGCAGCCAUAUGAAGGCAGCCUGUAAACCAGUAAUUGAUACACACACCAUCCUAGUACAUAAAACAUUCGCUCUCCAUGCCUAUUUAUGGUGUCCCCGUCGUGAUUUUGCUGGGAUAUUGCCAAAAGAUGCGUAAAUCCAUGCUCUCUCAAUUCAACAUGCCAUGCCUUGACAGACAAAACGAAAUACAAAAUAUAACAUUUAUACUUACAAUUUUGCAAUGCAGUGUGCUUCAUCAAUGAAAAUUGCCAUCAAAAUCUUCUCUUUAGUCAGGCUGUGUUCCAAGAACUGUCUCUGGACUUGCAAAUAUUAUUAUGUCAGUGUCAGGGUGAAAAAACCGUCACAGUAGCAUGGUUGGAGUUAUUAAGUUUCUUAAACACGAAUGGUGCUAAUUCAAAAGUAAGUGAUUUUCCUGAUCCUGUUGGAGAAAAAAAAGGACAUCCUUGUCUUUGAUGAUUCCUGAAGUGAUCAAUUAUGUAACUGCAUUACCUUCCAUACCAACAGUUAUACAUGUAGUUAAGUUAAAUAGAGGGCGUAUAUACUUAAAACACAACAUCAAUCCUUUGUUCCGUUCAGCAGUGUGUCAGAUUCGUGAUGGCUAGCUUGAGGUGGCUAGACUUGCUUUUUGUAUGCAUUACUAGAUUCUUUUUUUAAAUGAAAUAAAUAUAUUCCACGGUCAUUGGUGCAGGACUAAUUGUGUAUAUCACCUGAAUUUUGGUCAAUACCUGAAAUACUCAGUCGCCAAUACAGCCCCUAUUUCAUAUAAGGUUAUGAAAAUACAUGUCGGUUGGAGCCUGAAGCCUGAAGUAGAAUUUAGGUUAUUACACGGAUGAUAUACAUGUAAGGCCGAAAAUUGAUGAACUUCUUUAUUAUGAAGAACACAAUGUUUGGGACUAAUAUCAUUAGUUGAAGGAGUAAGUAUUACACCCAAACGUUCUGUUCCACACAAUGCGUUUCACUUCUGAAUGUUUUUCUAAGAGUUGAUACAUACACUUGCCUUGUAUAUAUGGUUGAUGCACGUCGAGUGUCUCAGAAACGCGGGAUCUGCAGGUAUUAGAGCUGAAUACAGUUGUGAUUUGACGAAUUCUUUUUCUUCUGACUCUUCCUCUUAUUUCGUUUUUCAGCUUAGCAUUGUGUAUACACAACGUAAUUAACGGAUUCUGACAUCAGCCACAUAUCUCGGACCACCCCACGAGUCUCUCUUAACCGUUCAAUUAACGUUCCGCUUGGUGUUGCCACACCUGUCCGCCAUCUGCUGUUGAGAUACUGUAACGGUUCUCGUCUGAAAAGAGGACUUCUCCCACUGCUGGUGCUGUGCUACCCACUGAAGACGGUCCAGGAAACAAAGAAGAAGACUGAAAGGAUACCACUGGGAGUGCUUCAGUGAGGACCUCAGUGACCGUUCUCCAUCACAGUAGGUGCUCAGCGGAGGGGACUACCUCACCCUUGAGAGGCAGAAACAAGCCAAUCAUGCACUUACGAGAUGGACCUACACCAAGUUCCAGAUUACAAGGACUUGUUCCAAAGAUGGAAGAGUUCCAUAACGAAGCUGAAUUUCUAAAGGUUAUAUGGAAACACUUGUACUCGUCCUCCUCUAACAAGUCUGUUUGGCACUCUGCAUGCUGCAAAGGAGCACAAUAAAUGCGGUGAAUGUUACUCAGGAUCCUCAUGACAACUUUUACCCAUGCUCUGAAUUCAUGGACAAGGUCACCACCGCCUACAUCGUAACUGGGGGACUACAUUACUUCCAAAUGGAACACCUCACUUCUGUCCCAACGUCAAGUUACAUGGGUGCUGUUGGCAAUCCAUAUAAAAUGAUUGAUUAUUUUCUAGGUCAUGCAGCAAAACAGUUUGUAGACAAGCACGUCUUACCGGAGGUUCCUCAACAGCCAGGUCAUGGUCUCCAAAUCAAACACACUAGCCUGCAGGUACUGUGGAAAACUGUACCAGAGACCAAAAGCUCUCCGCAAACACGAAGCAUCCGGAAUAUAAUGCUGAAAACAAUCAGGAUUCCACAUCUUCAGCAGAAUCAAGAUCAUCUAUUUAUCAGUACACCCGUCUGUCUCUCAUGCUUGGGCUUCUUCGAAUAAAUCACAACGAUUCCAUUCACAUGGGAGAUGGUGGCAGGCAUGAUGAGACUAGUAAAGUGGUUCUGUUUAUAAGGCAAGCAAAUGUCUCCUUUGAAACACAGGCAAAGGCAUAUGCUCUCCUAUAUGAACGGCAGGCUUUAUAGAUUGAUAUGGAACCGCACAGUCAACCAUCAAGGCAGAGAAGACACCAAUCAUCCCAUCGACCUUGACUUGGAGCAUUGCAACAGGGCUUUCAAAGAUGAUGUACACACAUACAAGGGGAGGUACACAGAUAAAAGACGAUUCUCAAAGUCAGCAGAAGUGCGCUGUCAAUGGAAGAAUUAUGCCAAAAAUACGACAAAUUGGCAUUCCGCUAGAAAAGUUCGGGAAGGCAUGGAGUUGUUGAUCCUUCUUGGUGAUAUUCUUAAACUUGUAGAACAAUUCCAUUCCUAUGCAGCUCUAUUCAAUGAGGCCAACAAGCCACUGCCACAGAGAAAUCAAAAACAUGCCGAGUGACAUCCAAAAUUGGAUUUCAGAAAGUCUUAAAGUCUUCAGUAGCCGCACAUACUAUAACAUCUGAACCUUUUUUCCCGAUGUGUAAUUCAGUGUCACAUGAUUAAAACGAGACCCUGUUGCAAAGUCGCUAUCACUGUAUGUUUCAUGAUCUUCAUGUUCUGAGUCUGAGUGAGAUGAUGAGCUAUCACUCGAGUCAAGGGAAGUUUUGUACAACUCAAGAAUAUCACAUCUACAUUCACUACAUGGGGUAUUGCAUGUCCAUGAGUCUCUGCAGUCACCGAGACACUUGCAAGAUAUGGCACAGUUGUCCAUAGCACUCAUGA